GAUGAACGCUGGCGGCGUGCCUAAUACAUGCAAGUCGAGCGAACAGACGAGGAGCUUGCUCCUCUGACGUUAGCGGCGGACGGGUGAGUAACACGUGGAUAACCUACCUAUAAGACUGGGAUAACUUCGGGAAACCGGAGCUAAUACCGGAUAAUAUAUUGAACCGCAUGGUUCAAUAGUGAAAGACGGUUUUGCUGUCACUUAUAGAUGGAUCCGCGCCGCAUUAGCUAGUUGGUAAGGUAACGGCUUACCAAGGCAACGAUGCGUAGCCGACCUGAGAGGGUGAUCGGCCACACUGGGACUGAGACACGGUCCAGACUCCUACGGGAGGCAGCAGUAGGGAAUCUUCCGCAAUGAGCGAAAGCUUGACGGAGCAACGCCGCGUGAGUGAUGAAGGUCUUCGGAUCGUAAAACUCUGUUAUUAGGGAAGAACAAAUGUGUAAGUAACUAUGCACGUCUUGACGGUACCUAAUCAGAAAGCCACGGCUAACUACGUG
rnacentral:rRNA from 1 species